UGGCUCUGCGGGGUUAUCGUUAUUUUUAGGAGCACUAAUGCUGGCCAAAGGGACCCCUUCUUUUAGGCAGUUUAAAAAAAAAAAAGAAGUAUCCUCUUCGUGUUUAGCUAAGCGAUUGUGCACACUGGAUUUUUUUUUUUAAAAAAAGAGCGAGCGAGAGAGAGAGAGCUUGGAAGGCUUCGGUUGGGAUGCUUAGAGAAGAUGGGUGGAAAGAAAAAGGAAAAAAAUAUAUAAAAAUAUAUAUAAGACUUUUCUCAGUCUUUAAAAAAAUUAUGUUUUGCGCCCUAUGUUUUAGGGCUUGGAGAAGAGGAAGGGAGGAAGUAAAAUAAUAGUAAUAGUAAUAAUGACAAUAGCACGACUAGUAGAAAAAAUAAUUAAAUUAAUCUACUAUAUAUUUAUAUAAAUGCACACUCUAAGUUUAAACAGAGAGAUUCCGAGGGGGUGUUUUCUCCAAAGCAGGAGAGGCAAGGAAGCCUCGCCUUUAAGGAAGGGAGGGGGGAGGAAAGAGCCCCCACCCAAAUGUUAAGGAAUUCCCGGAGAUGGUUCUGAAGAAAACCGCACGUUCACACAUUGAUUAGAAACAGGAAGAAGGAAAACAGGCAACAGACCAACAGUACUUUCACCAACUCCAAGUUGAAGAUCGUCUCUGCAGGGUGGAGGAACACAUCACACUUCUGCAUAUGUAAGAGAACAAGAUAUGUUAAGAAGAAACCUUCUGGCUGAGAACACCCAAAUUCAGCAGCCUACUUCCAGCCAUAAGAUACCUGUCACCUCUUGGAAAGCUUCAGUGAAGAUGUCAACCCAACGAUUCCCCUUCUUCCUUGCAUCCAGUGUAUCUGGGAUUGAAAGACUCUACCACUUCAGGGCUGAGAGAAUGACUGUACAAGAACCUUGAAUGCUGCGCUGAAGACACGUUAGAGCUUCCUUUCUGCAUUGUGUUGAGUAUUCUUGAGUACUGGAGGGUGUUCCAUGAGCAGUAUAUGCCAGCUGCAGGCCACCUGCUGCCAACCCCUGAAACACUGUGCAUCAUAACUGACAACAUUUGGACUCCAGUGGGGCACAUUGCCAAGGGCAUCAUCAAGUACAGACUGAACUCAUCCUAGAAGAGGAGGAUGCAAGGUCGGUGAUACAGCUGUGGAACAUUCCUGUAUCCAUCACGAUUCAAAAAGAUCUCCCCCUAGAAGAAUUCUAGGGUUAUUUUAUGAAAAAUUCCCUUAGCUGUUCAACAGAAGUGCAGGGAUUCACAGAGCAGAACAGCUGAGUUCCCUACUCCUUUUUUCCCCUCAUCAACUGGCACUUAGAGUCUCAGUUACUCACUCAGAGAUAUUAGUGGGAGAAAGAUUAAAAAAAAUCUAUUACUCAAACUCAACUAGAUCAAACAGCAAACUGGCAAAAUAUGGCUGCUUGCAGCAACAGGCCUCAACACUUUCACAGACUGCAAGAGAGGUGGAAAAAAGGCAGAGCAGAGACGCAGGGUUCUCUUUGCAUCAGAGGCGAGAGGGAGCCAUUGGUUAGUGCUGGAUAGAUUGACAGUCACCCCAGCCCUGAAAGGUCCCUCCCAGCCAAACAUACUAAAGGCAGCAUGCGAGGUUGCAAUAAAACUCCAACAGAAUUGUGCA
rnacentral:lncRNA from 1 species